AUGCCCUUUCCUCCUAAACCAUCCAAGAAAAAGGAUGAUGAGGAUUUUGAGCGCUUUGCUGAAAUGAUUAGACCUAUCUUUUUGCGUAUGCGUUUAACCGAUAUGCUUAAAAUGCCUCCUUAUGCUAAGUAUAUGAAAGAUAUUGUUACUAAUAACAAAAAGAUACCGGAAGCUGAAAUCUCCACCAUGCUUGCUAAUUAUACUUUUAAGGAUGGAAUACCAAAGAAACUUGGAGAUCCAGGAGUACCAACUAUUCCAUGCUUCAUUAAAGGAAACUAUGUUAAAACUGCUUUAUGUGAUCUUGGACUCGGUGUUAGUGUUAUGCCUUUCUCUUUGUAUCGUAGACUUGAAUUGAAUAAGUUGACACCUACUGCAAUAUCUUUGCAAAUGGUUGAUAAAUCAACUGCUAUACCCAUCAGUAUUUGUGAGGAUGUGCCUGUUGUGGUUGCAAACGUUACUAUCUUAAUGGACUUUGUUAUUCUCAAUAUUCCCGAGGACGAUAGUAUGUUGAUCAUCCUUGGUAGACCCUUUCUGAAUACUGCAGGGGCUUUUAUUGAUUGCAACAAAGGCAAUCUCACUUUUCAUGUUAAUGGUAAUGAGCAUAUAGUACACUUUCCCAAGAAACAACCUCAAGUUCAUAGUAUCAAUUAUAUUGGAAAAUUUUCAACUAUUACUAUUGGAGGUUUUGAGUUCCCUCUUCCUACUGUCAAAAAGAAAUAUGAUAUUCUUAUUGUUGGGGACAUGCAUAUUCCCGUUAAGAUAACCUAG
rnacentral:rRNA from 1 species